ACUGUGGAACUGCCUUUGAUACUGUCAGUCUAGAGUAUAGUUGAAGUGGGCGGAAUGUGUCAUGUAGCGGUGAAAUGCUUAGAUAUGACACAGAACACCGAUCGCGAAGGCAGCUCGCUAAGCUAUAACUGACGCUCAUGCACGAAAGCGUGGGGAUCAAACAGGAUUAGAUACCCUGGUAGUCCACGCUGUAAACGAUGAUUACUCGUUGUUGGCGAUACACAGUCAGCGACCAAGCGAAAGUGAUAAGUAAUCCACCUGGGGAGUACGAUCGCAAGGUUGAAACUCAAAGGAAUUGACGGGGGCCCGCACAAGCGGUGGAGCAUGUGGUUUAAUUCGAUGAUACGCGAGGAACCUUACCUGGGCUCAAAUGUAUGUUGACGUAUUCUGAAAGGGAUACUUCUUCGGACAAUAUACAAGGUGCUGCAUGGUUGUCGUCAGCUCGUGCCGUGAGGUGUCGGGUUAAGUCCCAUAACGAGCGCAACCCCUAUCAUUAGUUGCCAUCAGGUAAAAAUGGGGACUCUAAAGGAACUGCCUACGCAAGUAGUGAGGAAGGCGGGGAUGACGUCAAAUCAGCACGGCCCUUACGUCCAGGGCUACACACGUGCUACAAUGGCCGAUACAGAGGGCAGCUACCAGGUGACUGGAUGCAAAUCUCCAAAGUCGGUCUCAGUUCGGAUCGGAGUCUGCAACCCGACUCCGUGAAGUUGGAUUCGCUAGUAAUCGCGCAUCAGCCAUGGCGCGGUGAAUACGUUCCCGGGCCUUGUACACACCGCCCGUCAAGCCAUGGAAGCUGGGGGGACCUCCUUUAAAGAAGCCGUAAGGAGUCGCCUAANNUAAAAGCCCCUCACGGUGAGGUAAGUCUAACAAGGUAACC
rnacentral:rRNA from 1 species